AAAAACAUCUAAAGACACUGAAGCAGCAAACUUUGUGAAAAUUAAUAUUUGUGUCAUUCUCAAAACUUUUGGCCAUAACUGUACAAUGACUGGGACCAGCUGGUGGUUCGGCUGGACAUCUGGCACCUGAUGGGGCAGUUCGCGUCAGGUGUCACCACUGAGAGCCACCAGCUCUACGGUCCCUUCAUGCGGCAGCUGUCAGCCUGCAUCUUUGAGUGGGAGGCGAUGUCCGCCGACUGCUGGAGGCCAAGAGGUCUGAGAUGGAGGGGAAGCACGGGAUGGUCGGUCUCACCGAGCAGAGACUGAGGUAAAUCGCCAGUAAGGAGAUGGCACUUCACUGUCGGGGUUUACAGUGGCGACGAGGUGAUUAAACUACAUAAAUGGACAUUGCUUGAAGGGAAGAAUGUUGCGUGAGUAAUGAAACUCAAAAUAAUUAUGUAAUUCGUCAGUUAUUUUUUUUAUUUUAAAUUUUAAAUUUUCUUUCGCCAGUCAGAGAAGACUAACCACAGCUAGCACUGCUAGUACAGUAUUCAGGAGCUGCCAAGUAGCAAGACUAUUGGAGUCCAGAAUAGCGACACUGCCCUCUGGUGGUUAAAUAAAAUAAACUGUCAUUGAACCCAUUGGAAUUAGUCGAUCUCAGUGGAGAAAUAUUGUCAAGGGGAAAAAAAGGAAGAAGGGACGUAACAAAUGAGUGCAGUGAAUGAAGUAAUUGCAGAAACUUCUGAAGUGAAGAAGUAGAUGAAUAUUCAGAAAAUUAAGGAAUAUAACAAACUAACUGUACUCCCGUCUCCUGCCUGGUCAUUUCUCCACAACACAAAUAUUACAGUGGAGAUGCGGCGACCAAAGUCUUUCUCCUUGACCUCUUUGAGACCUUCAACAGCGAGAAGGGGGUCGACACCCUGGGCAUCCCGUUGCUGGACUCCAUACGGAUGCGCCACAUCCACUGUAUACAGGACCCACGAGAUCGGCAAAUGCCGGUAUAUCGCUGAGCACGGGGCUCCACAUCCUUGGAGUCAUUCUACCUCCACCUCAACCGGUACCAGGGCAAUUGCAAUGCAUUUCCAGGCAUUCCUGUUGGAUGGACUGAUGAGGUGGAACGAGGACCGUGCGCAGGCAGCAGUGGAGGGAAAGAACAGGAAGCCCCUGCUCUCCUACAGUGGCCACCUGCAGCACAUCCUUAACCUUAGCAGCCAAAGGGUUGCUUGGCGAGGAACAGGGGGAACUCCCCAGAGUGGAGUACCUGUACUGGCAGAGUGCUGCAGGAUGUCAGCGCGGACCCUGACCUUCCGGAAGAGGCAGCCGCCAUCGAGCAGGACGAGGUUUUUCAGGAGGAGGUUGUGGACCAGACAGUCCACAUCCCUCAUGUCACUCCUAUGAGUGCCCCGUCCUCCAGCUCAGCGGCACCUCUGUCAGGGGAACCCGCUGACGCAUCCAGGUCUGGGCCAUCCAGUCCCACUGCCCUUGCAGACGGAAGCUCUCCUGAGGCCCCUGGUCGACACGGUUCUCCUCACCCUGACCCACUCCUCUGAUUCAGAGGCUUGCCAGGGCCUUGGUGGGGGUAAGGAACCGUCAGGGGCUGUCGGACCGCAGGAAAGACGGUCUGGUGGCGCUGUGGCUGGUGCUGCCAGACUUGACAAGCAACGCUUGAUCUACCCUGCCCGGCACCAGGAGAGGAACGUUCAGGGGCGGUUCAAGGCAACGAAGGGGAAGUUGUCCAUUAUCCUAGGAAAAGACUCUUUCCAAUGUUGCCUUCUCGGACUCAACUCGGGCCCUGCAAAUUGGCCAGGGCACCAGCCGUUUGGUGGAGGCCAUUUGCAGUCAGCUCUGCCAAAUCCAUCCCAGCGCCACGCAGUCUGCCGGCGUCAAGAAGAGCAGGUGGGCGCUCAUUCUGGCAGACGACGUGGCCAUUAGGGAGGCAGUGCUGAACAGCCCAAGGUUGAUGGCCCAGACGAACCUUCAGCUCUUUGAGCUGAAUCAAAGGACCAUCAGUCAGUGGUAUUCCCGGCGUCAGAAGGAGAGGAUGGUGCUGUAGCAGGGAUUGAGGCUCGCUGCUGCCCCCAGCGUCACCACCCAGCGUCUUCGCCCAGCGUCACCGCCAAGCCCCUCCACUUCAAGCAGGAGGGAAUCAAGGCACCCUUCCCUUUCCCUACGCCGCCCUCCCCCCGGUCCCACGCCAGACCACCCAGCAAAGAGAGCCCGUCCACGUGCCCAUUCUGCCAGCCCACCUGGAGCAACAACCCCCCGCACUUCCCGGCCCCUCCCAAGCCCAAGGACCACAGACGGGCUGCUCUUCACCGCCCCUGUGCCAAGGACAAUGGCUUGGAGGAGGAUGGCGAUGGCGGACACAGAGGAGGUGACAGCCGGGAAGAGAAGGCAACGUGAGCAUUACAUCUGCGCCAAAUGCGGGUUGCCGAAGUGGCGGGAGAUGGGCCACAGCCGCUUUGGCGGCGUGGAGUUCUGUUGCUGCAGGGGGUGAGAACGUGGUCCAGUGGCUGGUGGAAAUGAAGGACACUAAGGGAUGAGGUGAAGAACACUGAGCCACUGGCUGGGUGGUCAGACGUUUUUAUUUGUAAAUAGUUCACUGUUCCCCUCUACCUGGACCGAGACCUUGAGUGCGUUGUAGAGGCUUGUGUGUGUUGAGGACCCUCAGAGCUAUAUUGUCUGUAGUCUAUAAGACUACUGGUAGGGUAACCCAUGGUAGGCAGUUCUGAGGCGAGACACCAGACUAACAUCGGUCCGUUCCCAAACAAAAUACU